ACUUCCUCCUUGUGCCCCGAAGGCCAGCCCGGCACUCAGGCCAGGGCACUUGGACACCACGCUGCAGGAGGCUGGUCUUGCCCAGGCCUCUGUGGGAAGGGCCACCAGGCUGAGUGGAGGGCCAGCCACCAGCUACGGUGUCUUCCUUCGCAGGUCUGUCCCCCCAGGCAGAAGGAUUCCAGCCCAGGGAUCCCCCAUCCCACCCUGACUGCAUCCUGAGAAGGGGGGACGCCACUUCGGGAAGGUUGUUGGGGCAGCACAGGCCCUGGGGCCCUGCUCUGUGACCUUGGGCGGCCCCCUCUGUCUCUCUAGGCCUGUAUCCACCACUGGCAAAGGGGGCAGGGCCCAAGUCUCUAAAAGCUCCCCUUUCUCUCCAGAAGCUUUGGAGUCUCCCAAAAUGCCUGCUGGGUCUCUGCAGGACUGGCACCUGUCACCGGAACCUGUCUGGGAGGGACGAGAACACGCUUUGCAAGAGGAAGCUCUGCCUCACAGAGCCCUGGGCUCACUCAGGGACCCUGGCCAGCAGCUGCUUCCUCUCCCCACAGCGGAGAGAGACCCAAGGGUCCCAGGGCGGAUGCUUCCCACCAGGCCAGCCCAGCGUGCAGGGUGGCCUCGUAAGUCCUGAUUGACAUAUGGACAGUGGUUCAGAGAGGUUAUGCUACUUGCUGAAGGUCACCCAGCUCCGAGGCCCCUGCUGUCUUCCAGGCCACUGAGGUCCUAAGCGUCCUUCCAGGCGAGCCACUGCUCACAGCCUGUUCCUCAUGUUCUGCGGCAGGUUUGUGUAUCUACAUCUUUUCCAGUUCCCUGUCGUCCCCCUUCCUACACCUCGUCAUCCACUGUCCCUGUUUGUUUUCUCUGUUCCUUUCUAGUUCUCUACCUGUUCCUCUUAUUUUUAUUUGAGACAGGGUCUUUCUUUGUCACUGAGGCUGGAGUGCAGUGGCACAAUCCCAGCUCACUGGAGCCUCGACCUCCCAGGCUCAAGUGAUCCCCCGCCUCAGCUUCUUGAGUAGCUGGGACCACAGGCAUGCAUCACCACACCAGGCUAAUUUUUUAUUUUUUGUAGAGAUGGGGUCUCACUGUGUUGCCCAGGCUGGUCUUGCACUCCUGGGCUCAAGAGAUCCUCCCACCUUGGUCUCCCAAAGUGCUGGGAUGCCAGGUGUGCACCGCCAUCCUCGGCCUUACUCUUCACUUCCUCUCUCAGCCCCUCUGCCUCACUAUCCCUCUUUCUGUGCCCUCCCCCACACAGCCCCCCACACUUCUUCUUAGUCUCAUCUUCAGCUUCCCAUACGAGGCCAUCCUUAUGAAAUCAGGCACUGGGAGGUCCCUGGGGACUGACAAGUGCCAGCUGUCCCUUGCUGUCCCUCUGCCCCAUGGCUGCAGCAGGGAGGGUGGGCAAAGGGCAGAGGUGACAGUGGCCAAACCUGAAACUGAGGCCCAGCUCUGGUUGGGAAAGAAACAAGGAAACAAAAUAACUUGGGGACAGAGGGCGUGGGGUCAUCAGAGCGGGCAAAGGCUGCCCAGGAGUUGUAAAUCGGAGCCGCUCCCGGCUUUAUGAGGCCGAUUUGGGGUUGAGCCUGGACUUUGCCCAGGAAGGAGUGCUGGCAGCACACGGGGCGCCAGGUGUGGGCCCCAGAUGAUAAGAAGCCUUGGUGAAAAGACCAUGCAUGGACCUGGGGCCACGAAGACUGGGGAGCCCAGGUGAGCGGGCAUGGGACACUCUCCAGAGCCCUGCCGAAGGCGGACGCCAGGCAGGGCCCCGGUCUCCAAUUGGUUCCCGCCCCCUGUAACAGCAACUCCAUGUGGAAGUGCCCACUGGUUCCAGUGGGGCUGCUGUUAUCUGGGGCGAGGGCCUGUACCCACGAAGAAGGAGAGGCAGGUGCUGGCCAGCAGACCAGCCAGGACUACCGUGGCGACGCUCCCAGGCCAGAUGGUGGCGGGUAGUGGAGGGCUGUCGGUGGGCUGCCGAGACCGAGUGCACAGGGCUCUGACCUAUGAAUUGACAGCCAGUGCUCUCGUCUCCCCUCUGGCUGCCAAUUCCAUAGGUCACAGGUAUGUUCGCCUCAAUGCCAGCCACCAGGACCUGCAGGGAUAGGGGAGGGCCGGGGGUGUCCAGCAGUCAGCAGAGAUCCUGCGACCCCAGUGCAGCACUCAUGGUCCCACCUCCCUCUGUCUCAUUCCCUGUGAUGAGCCUGAACAGCUUCAGUCCUGCCCCUGCCCUGCCUGCCCUGUGGCACCUCUAUGCUUUGCCCAUGCUGUUCCUUUGGGCUGCAAUACUCUUCCUAGCUUAUUUGCCAGGCUCACUCUUCCUAACCCUUUCAAGCUCUGUCCAAGCAUUUGCUGCCUCCAGAAGGCCUUCUUGAAGCUUCUAAGUCCCCACCUGGGCACCCCCACACAGUGCUGCCGCAGAGCACUGCCCUCUCGGAGCCCUGGUGCUGGUUUCUGCUUAUGUCUCGCUCCUCUCCCCAUCUGUGAGCUCAGUUCCCAGCCCAGGCGCGUGCCCAAUAAAUGUUUGCUGAACCAAUCCUGAGCCUCUGUCUUGCACCCUGAGGAAGCACCCACCGACAUGCAGUGUGGCCAAGGGGGGCUGAGUGCUCUAGGCCCAGUGUUUGUGCUGGAGCCCCCCCACCCAGGAUGGGGCCCUGAGCCAGCCUCCCCAUCUGCUUCCUACUCUCCCCUCCUUUGCCAGUCUCAUCAGCCCUGUGGUUGGUGGAGCAGCUUCUCCAGCCCCUAGGAUUCCUAAGAGGGCCCAGGACCCUGGCUGCUGGUAGAGGAAGAGCAGCCAACCCAGGACAGGACAGCUGACCCCACCCCUGUCCCGCCUCCCACAACAGCCUCAUUUCCACCUAUUUCUUUGUGGUGUUUGUUUGUUUGUUUUGAGACAGAGUCUUACUCUGUUGCCCAGGCUGGAAUGCAACAGGCUUCCUCCCAGGAGGAAGCCUCCCCUCCUGGCAUGAUCUCAGCUCACUGCAACCUCUGCCUCCUGGGUUCAAGCGAUUCUCCUGCCUCAGCCUCCCAAAUAGCUGAGAUUACAGGCAUGCACCACCAUGCCCAGCUAAUUUUUGUGUUUUUAGUAGAGACUGGGUUUCACCAUGUUGGCCAGGCUGGUCUUGAACUCCUGACCUCAGAUAAUCUGCCCACCUCGGCCUCCCAGAGUGCUGGGAUUAUAGGUGUGAGCCACUGUGCCCAGCCCCACCUGUUUCUUAUACAACGGGGUUCUGAGGAAAUUUUCCUUUUUUUUUUUUUGAGACAGGGUCUUGCUCGCUUUGUCACCCAGGCUGGAGUGCAGUGGUACAAUCACAGCUCGCUGCAGCCUCCACCUGCCAGGGCUCACACAGCCCUCCCAUCUCAGCCUCCCAAAUAGCUGUGACUACAGGCACGUGCCACCAUGCCUGGUUAAUUUUUGUAUUUUUCAUAGAGAUGGGGUUUCACCAUGUUGCCCAGGCUGGUCUCAAAUUCCUGGCCUCAAGCAGUCCUGCCUCAGCCCCCCAAACUGCUGGGAUUACAGGCAUGAGCCACUGUGCCCUGUCAGAAUUUUUCAUUUGAAUAAAAAGGUUUCUGGUACUACAAAAUAAAAUUUGUAAAAUGGGAAAUAGAGACCUAGGAAUAAAUGUCAAAUUGCUUAAUAAC
rnacentral:lncRNA from 1 species